rnacentral:rRNA from 1 species
GGACUACUGGGGUAUCUAAUCCUGUUCGCUCCCCACGCUUUCGCUCCUCAGCGUCAGUUCCGGCCCAGAGUGCCGCCUUCGCCACUGGUGUUCCUCCCGAUAUCUGCGCAUUUCACCGCUACACCGGGAAUUCCGCACUCCCCUACCGGACUCGAGUCACGGCAGUUUCGAAUGGCCCCUCCACGUUGAGCGUGGAGAUUUCACAUCCGACUUGCCGAACCGCCUACGAGCUCUUUACGCCCAAUGAUUCCGGACAACGCUAGACCCCUACGUAUUACCGCGGCUGCUGGCAC